GACGAACGCUGGCGGCGUGCUUAACACAUGCAAGUCGAACGGAAAGGCCCUGCUUUUGUGGGGUGCUCGAGUGGCGAACGGGUGAGUAACACGUGAGUAACCUGCCCUUGACUUUGGGAUAACUUCAGGAAACUGGGGCUAAUACCCGAUAGGAGCUCCUGCUGCAUGGUGUGGGUUGGAAAGUUUCGGCGGUUGGGGCUGGACUCGCGGCUUAUCAGCUUCUUGGUGGGGUAGUGGUUUACCAAGGGUUUGACGGGUAGCCGGCCUGAGAGGUGGACCAGGGACAUGGGGACUACGGGACGGACCAGUAUCGUACGGGAGGCAGCAGGCGGAAGCUUUGCGCAAUGGGGCGAAGUCUGAGACGGAAACCCCGGGUUCGUAAUGACGGCCUUCGGGUUGAAAACCGCCGUGGCCUGUAACAAAGAGGGAUUGACGGUAAUGGGUAAGGAAGCACCGGCUAACUACGUG
rnacentral:rRNA from 1 species